rnacentral:rRNA from 1 species
GACGAACGCUGGCGGCGUGCCUAAUACAUGCAAGUAGAACGCUGAAGAGAGGAGCUUGCUCUUCUUGGAUGAGUUGCGAACGGGUGAGUAACGCGUAGGUAACCUGCCUUGUAGCGGGGGAUAACUAUUGGAAACGAUAGCUAAUACCGCAUAACAAUGGAUGACACAUGUCAUUUAUUUGAAAGGGGCAAUUGCUCCACUACAAGAUGGACCUGCGUUGUAUUAGCUAGUAGGUGAGGUAACGGCUCACCUAGGCGACGAUACAUAGCCGACCUGAGAGGGUGAUCGGCCACACUGGGACUGAGACACGGCCCAGACUCCUACGGGAGGCAGCAGUAGGGAAUCUUCGGCAAUGGGGGCAACCCUGACCGAGCAACGCCGCGUGAGUGAAGAAGGUUUUCGGAUCGUAAAGCUCUGUUGUAAGUCAAGAACGAGUGUGAGAGUGGAAAAUUCACACUGUGACGGUAGCUUACCAGAAAGGGACGGCUAACUACGUGCCAGCAGCCGCGGUAAUACGUAGGUCCCGAGCGUUGUCCGGAUUUAUUGGGCGUAAAGCGAGCGCAGGCGGUUUGGUAAGUCUGAAGUUAAAGGCUGUGGCUCAACCAUAGUUCGCUUUGGAAACUGUCAAACUUGAGUGCAGAAGGGGAGAGUGGAAUUCCAUGUGUAGCGGUGAAAUGCGUAGAUAUAUGGAGGAACACCGGUGGCGAAAGCGGCUCUCUGGUCUGUAACUGACGCUGAGGCUCGAAAGCGUGGGGAGCGAACAGGAUUAGAUACCCUGGUAGUCCACGCCGUAAACGAUGAGUGCUAGGUGUUGGAUCCUUUCCGGGAUUCAGUGCCGCAGUUAACGCAUUAAGCACUCCGCCUGGGGAGUACGACCGCAAGGUUGAAACUCAAAGGAAUUGACGGGGGCCCGCACAAGCGGUGGAGCAUGUGGUUUAAUUCGAAGCAACGCGAAGAACCUUACCAGGUCUUGACAUCCCGAUGCUAUUUCUAGAGAUAGAAAGUUACUUCGGUACAUCGGUGACAGGUGGUGCAUGGUUGUCGUCAGCUCGUGUCGUGAGAUGUUGGGUUAAGUCCCGCAACGAGCGCAACCCCUAUUGUUAGUUGCCAUCAUUCAGUUGGGCACUCUAGCGAGACUGCCGGUAAUAAACCGGAGGAAGGUGGGGAUGACGUCAAAUCAUCAUGCCCCUUAUGACCUGGGCUACACACGUGCUACAAUGGUUGGUACAACGAGUUGCGAGUCGGUGACGGCAAGCUAAUCUCUUAAAGCCAAUCUCAGUUCGGAUUGUAGGCUGCAACUCGCCUACAUGAAGUCGGAAUCGCUAGUAAUCGCGGAUCAGCACGCCGCGGUGAAUACGUUCCCGGGCCU